rnacentral:rRNA from 1 species
CCUACGGGAGGCAGCAGUGAGGAAUAUUGGUCAAUGGCCGAGAGGCUGAACCAGCCAAGUCGCGUGAGGGAAGACGGCCCUACGGGUUGUAAACCUCUUUUGUCGGGGAGCAAAGCGAACCACGUGUGGUUCAUUGAGAGUACCCGAAGAAAAAGCAUCGGCUAACUCCGUGCCAGCAGCCGCGGUAAUACGGAGGAUGCGAGCGUUAUCCGGAUUCAUUGGGUUUAAAGGGUGCGCAGGCGGGCCUUUAAGCCGGCGGUGAAAUCGCGGGGGUCAACCCCGCCGAGCCGUCGGAACUGGGGGCC